rnacentral:rRNA from 1 species
UACGGGGGGGGCAAGCGUUGUUCGGAAUUACUGGGCGUAAAGGGCUCGUAGGUGGCCAACUAAGUCAGACGUGAAAUCCCUCGGCUUAACCGGGGAACUGCGUCUGAUACUGGAUGGCUUGAGUUUGGGAGAGGGAUGCGGAAUUCCAGGUGUAGCGGUGAAAUGCGUAGAUAUCGGAAGGAACAUCAGUGGCGAGAGCGACUUCCUGGACCAAUACUGACGCUCAUGUGCGAAAGCGUGGGGAGCAAACAGG